GACGAACGCUGGCGGCGUGCCUAAUACAUGCAAGUAGAACGCACAGUUUAUACCGUAGCUUGCUACACCAUAAACUGUGAGUUGCGAACGGGUGAGUAACGCGUAGGUAACCUGCCUGGUAGCGGGGGAUAACUAUUGGAAACGAUAGCUAAUACCGCAUAAUAUUGAUUAUUGCAUGAUAAUUGAUUGAAAGAUGCUAUUGCAUCACUACCAGAUGGACCUGCGUUGUAUUAGCUAGUAGGUGAGGUAACGGCUCACCUAGGCGACGAUACAUAGCCGACCUGAGAGGGUGAUCGGCCACACUGGGACUGGGACACGGCCCAGACUCCUACGGGAGGCAGCAGUAGGGAAUCUUCGGCAAUGGACGAAAGUCUGACCGAGCAACGCCGCGUGAGUGAAGAAGGUUUUCGGAUCGUAAAGCUCUGUUGUAAGAGAAGAACGGGUGUGAGAGUGGAAAGUUCACACUGUGACGGUAUCUUACCAGAAAGGGACGGCUAACUACGUG
rnacentral:rRNA from 1 species